UCCGCCGUUAUUCGGAAAAUAGAUGUCGCAGAGUAAGCAUGCAUGAUUCUAGGUAUUGUAAAUAAACUAGACUAAGUAUUAGUUAAGGAAUCAACAUAAUAUGUAAAUAGAAAAUGGGAAAAAUAAAGUCUUAACCACAGAGGGGGUGAGGCAGCGAAUAUUCUAGAUAAUUGGGCAAAAAUAUAUAUAAACGCGGGGGUGUCUCGACUGGACAUUCCACUGAUCACCGAACAAGAGUCAGCGACAAGAAAAUCGGAAAACUGGGAAAAUCGCUGCCUCACUACGCCUGGCUGGAGACUGCAGAACGACAUAGCGCAUUUUUAUUGCACCUCGGGGUUGGGGGCGAGGUUCGAUACCCGGGGAAAGCUACCCCCCACACUUUUUUCAGCAAGCAGAGUU